rnacentral:lncRNA from 1 species
GCCAAUUUUGACAUAGAUUUCAUUCCCGAUCUAGACUGCCUACUUGUUGUACUGCCCAGGUCAUGCAGAAAAUUGGUGUUUACAUCAGACUUACCUAAGAUUUUCUUCCCUAAUACAAAUGACUUGAAUACAUCUCAUUUUCUUCCAGAGAGAUAGCUCCCUCCACUUCAGUCUAUAAUACAAACGAAGAUCAGCCAUUUGUUGCAUCUGAGGUAAACUGGCCUGGAUUUGUGGUCUGAGUUCACCAUAUUUCCACAGUAUGACAUUGAAGAAGAAAGGAAUUUUACUUGUCACUUGAUAGUUAUUGUCUCAUGACACUAAGCUAUGACUUGGAGACAAAGGCCAAGUCAAGCCCCACUGUGAGAUUCAAUGAUUCCUUGGUGGAGAAAGAAGCAUUUGAUGUGGAGCCUGACACACCUGAAUGGAUGAACUAAUAAAUGAUUAAGAAUGGAGGCUACAGCUGUACACAGGUAACUGUUCUUCUGGACAUUGUUUGUUCUCUUUGUAGAAAGUAGACAAUUUCAAAACAAGGUGGUUACUGUUACUGAAAUUGUAAAUUAUGUAGGGGCUGUCUGUUUUAUGUCUGAUGUAUUUGUUAAUAUUUAGAAUUAAUUCCUAUUUCUGAAAAAUAUGU